AUUGAACGCUGGCGGCAUGCCUUACACAUGCAAGUCGAACGGACCCUUCGGGGUUAGUGGCGGACGGGUGAGUAACACGUGGGAACGUGCCUUUAGGUUCGGAAUAGCUCCUGGAAACGGGUGGUAAUGCCGAAUGUGCCCUUCGGGGGAAAGAUUUAUCGCCUUUAGAGCGGCCCGCGUCUGAUUAGCUAGUUGGUGAGGUAAUGGCUCACCAAGGCGACGAUCAGUAGCUGGUCUGAGAGGAUGACCAGCCACAUUGGGACUGAGACACGGCCCAAACUCCUACGGGAGGCAGCAGUGGGGAAUCUUGCGCAAUGGGCGAAAGCCUGACGCAGCCAUGCCGCGUGAAUGAUGAAGGUCUUAGGAUUGUAAAAUUCUUUCACCGGGGACGAUAAUGACGGUACCCGGAGAAGAAGCCCCGGCUAACUUCGUGCCAGCAGCCGCGGUAAUACGAAGGGGGCUAGCGUUGCUCGGAAUUACUGGGCGUAAAGGGCGCGUAGGCGGACAUUUAAGUCAGGGGUGAAAUCCCAGAGCUCAACUCUGGAACUGCCUUUGAUACUGGGUGUCUUGAGUGUGAGAGAGGUAUGUGGAACUCCGAGUGUAGAGGUGAAAUUCGUAGAUAUUCGGAAGAACACCAGUGGCGAAGGCAACAUACUGGCUCAUUACUGACGCUGAGGCGCGAAAGCGUGGGGAGCAAACAGGAUUAGAUACCCUGGUAGUCCACGCCGUAAACGAUGAUUGCUAGUUGUCGGGCUGCAUGCAGUUCGGUGACGCAGCUAACGCAUUAAGCAAUCCGCCUGGGGAGUACGGUCGCAAGAUA
rnacentral:rRNA from 1 species